rnacentral:rRNA from 1 species
CCUACGGGGGGCAGCAGUGAGGAAUAUUGGUCAAUGGACGAGAGUCUGAACCAGUCAAGUAGCGUGAAGGAUGACUGCCCUAUGGGUUGUAAACUUCUUUUAUAAAGGAAUAAAACGAGGCACGUGUGCCUUUUUGCAUGUACUUUAUGAAUAAGGAUCGGCUAACUCCGUGCCAGCAGCCGCGGUAAUACGGAGGAUCCGAGCGUUAUCCGGAUGUAUUGGGUUUAAGGGGAGCGUAGAUGGGUUGUUAAGUCAGUUGUGAAAGUUUGCGGCUCAACCGUAAAAUUGCAAUUGAUACUGGCAGUCUUGAGUACAGGUGAGGUAGGCGGAAUUCGUGGUGUAGCGGUGAAAUGCGUAGAUAUCACGAAGAACCCCGAUUGCGAAGGCAGCUUACUAAACUGUGACUGACAUUGAUGCUCGAAAGUGUGGGUAUCAAACAGGAUUAGAUACCCGAGUAGUC